GUCCACGCUGUAAACGAUGGACGCUAGACGUCGUGGGUAUUGACCCCCGCGGCAUCGUAGCUAACGCGAUAAGCGUCCCGCCUGGGGAGUACGGCCGCAAGGCUAAAACUCAAAGGAAUUGACGGGGGCCCCGCACAAGCGGUGGAGCAUGUGGUUCAAUUCGACGCAACGCGCAGAACCUUACCUGGGUUAAAUCCGCCGGAACCCUGCAGAGAUGCGGGGGUGCCCUCUGGGAACCGGUGAGACGGUGCUGCAUGGCUGUCGU
rnacentral:rRNA from 1 species